rnacentral:rRNA from 1 species
GUCUAUGGCCAUAUCACCCUGAAUGCACCCAAUCUCAUAUGUUCUUGGAAGCCUAGCAGGGUCAAGCCUGGUUAGUACUUGGAUGGGAAAAAGAUCUUCAGAGGAGACUGCUUAGAGACA